rnacentral:ncRNA from 1 species
GACUCUGGAGAGCGGCCGGCGCGACCGGCCCACCGAAGGGGUAAAGGGCAUUUCUAUUCAUUGCUUGUGAACUCUGCGCAAGCCAAGCAAUGAAUAGAAACGUCCUAAAGCUCUCAGGUAAACGGACAGAGGGG